rnacentral:rRNA from 1 species
CUGCCCAAAAGAGGGGGAUAACACUUGGAAACAGGUGCUAAUACCGCAUAACCAUAGUUACCGCAUGGUAACUAUGUAAAAGGUGGCUAUGCUACCGCUUUUGGAUGGGCCCGCGGCGCAUUAGCUAGUUGGUGGGGUAAAGGCUUACCAAGGCAAUGAUGCGUAGCCGAACUGAGAGGUUGAUCGGCCACAUUGGGACUGAGACACGGCCCAAACUCCUACGGGAGGCAGCAGUAGGGAAUCUUCCACAAUGGGCGAAAGCCUGAUGGAGCAACGCCGCGUGGGUGAAGAAGGUCUUCGGAUCGUAAAACCCUGUUGUUAGAGAAGAAAGUGCGUGAGAGUAACUGUUCACGUUUCGACGGUAUCUAACCAGAAAGCCACGGCUAACUACGUGCCAGCAGCCGCGGUAAUACGUAGGUGGCAAGCGUUAUCCGGAUUUAUUGGGCGUAAAGGGAACGCAGGCGGUCUUUUAAGUCUGAUGUGAAAGCCUUCGGCUUAACCGGAGUAGUGCAUUGGAAACUGGGAGACUCGAGUGCAGAAGAGGAGAGUGGAACUCCAUGUGUAGCGGUGAAAUGCGUAGAUAUAUGGAAGAACACCAGUGGCGAAAGCGGCUCUCUGGUCUGUAACUGACGCUGAGGUUCGAAAGCGUGGGUAGCAAAAAGGAUUAGAUACCCUGGUAGUCCACGCCGUAAAC